CCACCUCCCUGGUCAACGCCGCCGCCCCUGCUUCCUCUGCUCUCUCUCCCUGCCACAAUCUCGCACAGCCGCACGCCCAAGCGCGACCAUUGCGCCGCCGCUUUCUCAGACGCUGCGCCUCCCUCCAGUUCGCUCCCACCUCUGCAGCAGCACCCGGCUCUUCCUCUAUUGCCGCACGUCUCGCUCCGCCGCCGUCGCUGCUGUCCCCCAUCUCCCUGCCGCGCGCCUCCACCAGCUCGCUCAACCUUCACCAGCUCUCCCUCUCUCCUCUGCCUUGCCAUGUCCAACGCCGCCAGCGCUCCUUCUUCCUCUCCCGCAGCGGCGCUCGUCCAGCCCACGACGAGCUCAUCUCCACUUCGCCGCUCAGCCACCUUUCGCUGUUGUCCGCCCCACCUCGCGAGCCCACAGCCGCGAGACUGCCAUCCUCAGCCUCUCCACUUAGCUCCACUC
rnacentral:lncRNA from 1 species